AACUCAAAGAUAGGUUGUGCCCUUUCACGGCGGCAACACGGGUUCGAAUCCCGUACGGGACGCCA
rnacentral:tRNA from 1 species